rnacentral:lncRNA from 1 species
UUAUUUUCUAUUUAGGUGAUCCUCUUGAGCCCCCAAGGGCCUACCCAUUUGGGGUGAAGGGUCUGUUGUCUCUCCCCCCCUCUCUCUCCUGUUUCUCUCACUCUCCUCUUAGAGAGAGUGUCUCUCUCUCUACUCUCUCUACUCUCUCUAUCUCUCUAUAUAUACUCGUCUUUCUCUUCCUCACAUUCUGUGAUCCUGGAGAGUAGAUUGUGAUCAACGGUCGCAAAUAUGACAAAUGACUAUUGCAAAGAAACAAGGAUCAAGAAAGUAGAAAUUGAUCUAAAAUUGCUGUAACAGUCAUGUGUUGUUAUAACAGUUAUUAUGCCCGUUAUUAGAAAAUGGUGCAUUAUGGGACAUCAUGCAUUCAAAUGAUGAAGGGGAGCACGAUGUUGGAGAAUAUAAUAUUUCAUGUCCCAAAGACAAAGUAGAAGGCUUUUUAAGGUUCGGUGAUGGUGAUUAUUAUUAUUGUUAUUGUUAUU